GAAAAUUUGAUUUCUGUUUUAUAUCUAAAGCUCAGAUCAGUUAUUUGCAAGAGAUUUAUUAGAACCUAAGUCAUUACUGCAACACGAAUUGCUCUGAAAGGAAAAAUACAAAUUAUCUGCCACUGCUUCUAACAGUGCUGGGAGGGGAAAAAUGCAUGAAUCUAGGAGCUUUAAUUACCUGCAGAAGUGUGAAUUGGUUAUGCAGUGCCUAUUUUAAUUACCAUCUGAUUAAAAUUAAUCCUAGCUAGGAAAGGAUAAAGGGAAAUGAGGAAACUGCAGUCUGAAGGUUAAUGUUCUAAGUACCUCAAAAACAGGUAAAGGAGAGAAAUCUGGAAGAAGGGUGUGUACUGUGAGUGACCAGCUGAAAUGUGAAAUGUUUUACAUGUUUCUUGUUUUGAUACAAGUUUCUGUAUGUUUAGAAUUUUUGUAAAUGUUGCUUUCAUCAUCUUCCCACCAGAGGCAUCUGGGCAUGGCAACAUCGCCAGAGGUAGAGGCAUAGCAGAUAAAAUAAAACCAUCCCAAGGUAUUCGAGAUGUUCCUGGGACUUGGUCCCAAUUCUCAGAGACUGCUUUUCCUUCUAUCACAAGCCUAGAGAAUGAAAAACAUGGUCUAAAGGAUCAAGGAAGAAAGAUAAUACACAAGCAAAAUAUCUCAGAGGAAACAGAGACAAUAUAGGAGCAGAGGUAAAUGUCAAGGCUGUAUACUCAUUAUCUUCAGAGAUAAAAGUGAAGCUAUUGUAUUCAUUAAACAAUGUUGGAUGACUAUUAAAGGGAACAAUUAGAGGCUAACAAUAUACUUUUAGGAAUUUUUCAAAAUGAGGGUAGGUUUCUGGUUAUACUUAAGAUGUAGAAGUUUGUUCCAAACCCAAACAGUGAGACGGGCCUAGAUAAUCUAUUAAAUCUUAAAAUGUUUGAGCUCAAGUCAUCUAAGUUUCAAGAAAGGCAAACCCCUCCAUGGAGAAAUGAAUCCUAAGAACUGUCUUAUCUAUGUCAGAGACAUGCAUAUGGGCAGGAAGAACUCAGCUACUUCAUUAGUGAUUUUUUGAAGUUCUGUUAUGAUUUGGCUCAUGUACCAAUCUGUAAUGUUUGAUGGCUUUGUACAUAGGAGGAGCUCACUUACGAGGUAUUUUCCAGUAGACUAAUAGAAGUCUAUUAGUCUACUGGAAUCCAUAUCCUCGUAUCAGUAGACUAAUACGAGGUAUUAGUCCAGUAGACUAAUAGACUUCUAUUAGUCUACUGGAAUCCAUAUCCAUUCUUUAUACUUAUAAUUAUACUUUAUACUUAUAAUUAUACCGAUUAACUCGAAAC
rnacentral:lncRNA from 1 species